rnacentral:pre_miRNA from 1 species
UGGCUGUGAGGGUUCCUGGCAUUCUGAUUUGUGACCUGUAGAGUAAAAUCACAUUGCCAGGGAUUACCACACUGCC